rnacentral:rRNA from 1 species
GGAGUUUGGACCGUGUCUCAGUUCCAAUGUGGCCGUUCGCCCUCUCAGGCCGGCUAUUGAUCGUUGCUUUGGUAGGCUUUUACCCUGCCAACUGGCUAAUCAAACGCGGGUCCAUCCUUAAGCGAAAUUCCUUUCCUCACUGUAUCAUGCGAUACUGUAAGCAUAUGGUGUAUUAGCAAUAAUUUCUCACUGUUAUUCACCUCUUAAGGGCAGGUUACCCACGCGUUACUCACCCGUCCGCCACUAGAAUUUUUGGAAAUCCAGCGAACCUUCAUUCCAAAGUUCCCGUUCGACUUGCAUGUGUUAGGCACGCCGCCAGCGUUCAUC